rnacentral:lncRNA from 1 species
CUGGACACCGGACACCUACCCAACCCUGUCCCCUACAGAUCUACCCAACCCUGUCCCCUGGACACCUACCCAACCUAUAAUAAAGGUCUGGGUCAGCCAAUAAAGGUCAGCCAUUAAAGGUCAGCCAAUAAAGGUCAGGGUCAGCCAUUAAAGGUCAGCCAAUAAAGGUCAGCCAAUAAAGGUCAGCCAAUAAAGGUCAGCCAUUAAAGGUCAGCCAAUAAAGGUCAGCCAAUAAAGGUCAGGGUCAGCCAUUAAAGGUCAGCCAUUAAAGGUCAGCCAUUAAAGGUCAGCCAUUAAAGGUCAGCCAUUAAAGGUCAGCCAUUAAAGGUCAGCCAUUAAAGGUCAGCCAUUCAAGGUCAGCCAAUGACUAAAUAGGAAAUAUGGUGGCAUUUGGAACUCAUACCCUAAAGUACAUGAACUAGCCGAUACAGUAUAUAUGAACAUUUAGAGAGAGAGAGAGAGAGACAGAGAGAGAGAGAGACAGAGAGAGCGAGAGAGAGAGACAGAGAGAGAGAGAGAGAGAGAGAGAGACAGAGAGAGAGAGAGAGAGAGACAGAGAGAGAGAGAGAGAGAGAGAGAGACAGAGAGAGA